AUUGAACGCUGGCGGCAGGCCUAACACAUGCAAGUCGAGCGAGCGGCGGACGGGUGAGUAAUGUAUGGGGACUGCCCGAUAGAGGGGGAUAACUACUGGAAACGGUGGCUAAUACCGCAUACUAUCGGAUAACCCAUAUGGGAUUAGCUAGUAGGUGGGGUAAAGGCUCACCUAGGCGACGAUCUGUAGCUGGUCUGAGAGGAUGAUCAGCAACACUGAGAGUGAGACACGUCCCAGACUCCUACGGAGGCAGCAGUAGUGAAUAGUUCACAAUGGGCGCAAGCCUGAUCCAGCCAUGCCGCUUGUAUGAAGAAGGCCUUAGGUUUGUAAAGUACUUUCAUCGGGGAGGCGUUCCCCGCAGAAGAAGCACCGGCUAACUCCGUGCCAGCCGCCGCAGUAAUAC
rnacentral:rRNA from 1 species